UGGAAAUGAAAGCCCUUUGAAAAGAGAGUUAAAAGUACGUGAAAUUGUUGAAAGGGAAGCGUUUAUGACCAGACUUGGGCUUGGUUAAUCAUCUGGGGUUCUCCCCAGUGCACUUUUCCAGUCCAGGCCAGCAUCAGUUUUCCCCGGGGGAUAAAGACUUCGGGAAUGUGGCUCUCUUCGGGGAGUGUUAUAGCCCGUUGUGUAAUACCCUGGGGGGGACUGAGGUUCGCGCAUCUGCAAGGAUGCUGGCGUAAUGGUCAUCAACGACCCGUCUUGAAACACGGACCAAGAGCGG
rnacentral:rRNA from 1 species